GGGGAGUUAAUCCAAAAUAAGAUCUCUGAUUUCGGCUCAGAAAACUGUGGUUUAACUCCACAACUCUCCU
rnacentral:tRNA from 1 species